CAAGCAGAGCAUUCUCACGGUGUCAACUGCUUGCAAGGUAGGGAUGCAUCUCCUCAGUUCGCAUCAGUUGCUAUAUUCUCCUCUUGCUGGUGGUAUGAAUUUUUGGUUCAUUUUUCUUCUUUUCACGACGCAAUUAAAAUUAGUGUAUUUCAAGCAGGAAUAACUUCCGCAAGAAACAUGUACUGUUUUGAGACAUUUAUAGGUCUCUUUAGCCUAUUAUUAUUAUUAUUGUUGUUGUUAUUAUUAUUUUUGAUAGAAAGGACUCAUAGUGGAUGGGGGUAUCUUUCCUCCAAAUGCUUAUAACAUCCCAAACCCUGAUGAAUGUAGGGUUGAUCCCAAUUUAUUAGGUACAAUUAUUAAAGACCUUACCAGUUUGGUAAGUUGAUACUUUCGUGCCUUGGCUUAUAUACGAAAUAGUUUUCUUGUUGAAUGUCGUUUUGCAUUGUGUGGAGCACGCCUUCCACUCAUUCUUCCGAGUGACAAAGUUUAUUUUUUUAACUAUAUUUCUAGGUUGGUCGACGGAAACAAACUUUUUGGUACUGGAGCUAACAAUUAUGGCUGGCAUGAAAAUUUAAUUCCCAAACAUUUUUUUUUAAAAAAAGUAGAAUAAUUAUCUGACAAGUUACUUGUUUCUUGUUGGCUACCGUUUUUAGAAUACUUCCAGUCUUGGGGGUGUAUUCAUUGUCCAUUAAAAAAACAGGUGGAUAGGCAUAAAUGGAUAUAAAUACUCCUUACUCAUGCCUAUUUUUCAGAACCGCUAUUUAAAAGGCAAACCUUAGGCCUGUUUUAUUCCUGAUCCAUUGGAUGCCACAGAGAUCAGGACCUGUUUGGAUAAGCUUGAAUUCAUGAGAUAGGGAACAGGAUUCCAAUAUAUUUAGACACUUUGGUGGGAUUUACCUAGGGCUGUAGCACGAAGGGCAGGUAGUGGGAGCUGGAGUGAGAUUGUCCACAGGAUCAGAAAAAAUGCCUCUCAAGAUCUUUCUCGCACUUUCUUCCUCUCUCGUACCCUCCCUCUCCCUGUCAAACUCCGCUUCAACCCCGGCUUUUUACGCCGGAAGUUUCCAAACAUGACGCCAUUAGAGUAUAUCAGGCCCCGCCUACUCCACACAAUAACCAACCUUCCCAAGCCCAUUCCCGCAAGUAGAGAGGAAUCCUUCUUUAGGUUUUUUUUUUUUUUUUU
rnacentral:lncRNA from 1 species